rnacentral:rRNA from 1 species
UUUCUUUUCUAAACCUUGAUUUUAUUUGAUUUUGCUUAAACUUUUAAUUCUUGUUUAUUUUAAUAUUUCUUGCUUAUUUGUAUUGGAUUUCUUAAAUCUUACUUUUUGUUCUUUUCCAUUCUUAUUUUUUACUUAUUGCGUUUUAAUUCUUAUGUUUAACUUUUGUUUUUUACGCUUUAAUAUUAAAGUUUUAGUUUUGGUGUUUUGUUUCUUGUUUCUUUGUGUUCUUAAGGUUUUUUACUGCUUAUAAUCUUAGUUUGUUGUUUCACCUUGUCUUUUGCUUGCUUGAUUUUGGUUUCUUACUGCUUAUGGUUUUUACUUCUUGCUUUUUAUUUAGUUUGAUUUUGAUUUGAUUGUGUUUCGUGUUUGUGUUUUAUUUUUCUUAAAUCUCAUUUCUUUUGUUUGAGUGUUGGAUUUAGUGUUGGACUUUCUUAAUUCUUAUGUUUGGACUUUUUGCUUCUUGUUUCUUUGUAUUCUUAAGGUUUUUUACUGCUUGUGGUUUGUGGUUGUUGUGUUGGAGUUUUACUUGUUACUUCUUGGGUUUUAAUUUCUUAUUCCUUACUUAUUGCGUUUUAAUUCUUAUGUUUUAAUGUUUGGUUUCAUGUUUUUAGUUUUUCUUGCUUCUUAACGUUUAGUGGGUUUGUUAUUUUUAAGGGGGUUUAGUGGGGUUUGGUCGUUGGGUUUUAUUUUUUUAAGCCUUAUCUUUAUCUUAUCCUUCAUUUCUUGCUUG